UGGGGAAUAUUGGUCAAUGGAGGAAACUCUGAACCAGCAACGCCGCGUGAAUGAUGAAGGUCUUCGGAUUGUAAAGUUCUUUUCUAAGGGAAGAAGAAAGUGACGGUACCUUAGGAAUAAGCCUCGGCUAACUACGUGCCAGCAGCCGCGGUAAUACGUAGGAGGCGAGCGUUAUCCGGAAUGACUGGGCGUAAAGGGUGCGUAGGUGGUUUGACAAGUUGGUAGCGUAAUUCCGAGGCUCAACCUCGGCGCUACUACCAAAACUGUCGGACUUGAGUGCAGGAGGGGCAAUCGGAAUUCCUAGUGUAGCGGUGGAAUGCGCAGAUAUUAGGAGGAACACCGGUGGCGAAGGCGGAUUGCUGGACUGUAACUGACACUGAGGCACGAAAGCGUGGGGAGCAAACAGG
rnacentral:rRNA from 1 species